ensembl:misc_RNA predicted gene, 27421
UUGACAGCUUUGGAAACUGAAGGAUUCUAAUUAUCCACAAAACAGGUAAUAUUCGGCCAGUGGCAUAACAAAUUAUUUCAUACUGCCCUGCCGAUGUGCCUCAAGUACAUUUCUUAGGAUCUCAUGUGUUAUAAAGAUUUUAAGGCUCCAUUCAUGUCUUGGGUAAG